AUUGAACGCUGGCGGCAGGCCUAACACAUGCAAGUCGAGCGGAUGAAGGGAGCUUGCUCCUGUAUUCAGCGGCGGACGGGUGAGUAAUGACUAGGAAGCUGCCUGGUAGUGGGGGAUAACGUCCGUACACGGGCGCUAAUACCGCAUACGUCCUGAGGGAGAAAGUGAGGGAUCUUCGGACCUCACGCUAUCAGAUGAGCCUAGGUCGGAUUAGCUAGUUGGUGGGGUAAAGGCCUACCAAGGCGACGAUCCGUAACUGGUCUGAGAGGAUGAUCAGUCACACUGGAACUGAGACACGGUCCAGACUCCUACGGGAGGCAGCAGUGGGGAAUCUUGCACAAUGGGCGAAAGCCUGAUGCAGCCAUGCCGCGUGAGUGAAGAAGGUCUUCGGAUUGUAAAGCACUUUAAGUUGGGAGGAAGGGCAGUAAGUUAAUAUCUUGCUGUCUUGACGGUACCAACAGAAUAAGCACCGGCUAACUUCGUG
rnacentral:rRNA from 1 species